AUAGCAUUAAGAGUGGUAGAGCAGUCGGCUGUUAACUGACUGGUCGUAGGUUCGAAUCCUACU
rnacentral:tRNA from 1 species